CCUUGGAGGGCGAAGUCCAGGCACGACGCCGUCGACAACGCCUAGCAGCCUGGUCCCUGAGCCACGACGAGCUUUAGAGCAGGCAGUGUCGGUUCGGUACUGGGCGGGUCCGAGCUACGCCCAGACUGCUAUCCCACCCCAUCCCCCAGCAAGCCUCCUCUUUUGCUAAAUUCCUGGCCCAUUUGGAAGACGAAUGAACAUUUGGGUUUGAAGAAAUGGUAUGUCUACAAGAUUCUGGGAAUACUGAAGGAGGAAGAACUAAGUAUUUUUAAAACAAUACAGAGCUUCCAAGUUAGUGAACAUGUAGAGAGUCAGGGAGAGUGACAUGCUUAAAGCUGGAAGCUCUGUGCCCUUUCUACAAGACCUUGUCCUACGUGUCUCUUCCAUCUGGAUGUUCCUGAGUUAUAUCCUUUUAUAAUAAGCUGGAAAUUCGUUUUCUUUGCUGUCUAAAAAAACACAACAAAGUUCUGCAGUAAGUCGCAGCCCUUGAGAAGUUUGCUGAAUUCCAGUGAUGUUCCCUUACUAGAUUAUACACAAGACUGAAAUGUCAUCAAAGGAGUGGCUUGAAUGAUACUAGUAAUUCUGAGUUCCUUUUUGACAAAUUCUCUUCACUACAAUCCAAACUUGUGUGCACUGCUUUACAAAUGAGAUCUCUGAAAAAGUUUGAACUCACCUUUCAUUUCAGGAUAAAAUGCAAAAUACUGAUCUGGUAAUCACCUUCUUUAACUCAAGGUUACCAUCAAAGGGUUGUUGCACUGAUGAAAGACAGAUUGAAGAAAUUUCCAGAACUGAAAUUCAAAUAUGUGGAAGAGCAGCAGCAGACCUUCAAGUUAUUUUAUUUUGGGGAACAGAAGUAGACAGUUUGCCUGGUGUAUCUUCUAUUGAAGAGGAUCAUCCAAGGUGUUUCUCUUGCACACUCUGAUUUGGAGAAUUGGUGCCAGUUGGCAAUACAGCACUCUGCUUAGAUUGUAAUGCAGAAAGAAGUGGGGAUACAGAUUAUACAAUUAUAAAUAUAUAAGCCUGCUUUUUUUAAAAGUAUAAAAAUAAACAUACAUAGGAAUAUUUACCUUGAACAGAACCUGAGGCAGGGGUUCAGAAUCCAAAGAAUUUUCUUCCCAUACACAUACUUCCAGAAAUACUCCUAACAGUGCAGUUAUUCCUCAUAGAACACAAAAUUCUCACAGCUUUUUCAGGAGAUAAUGCAAUGUCUUAUUACUUAGUGUAUCAAAAUCUAAGUUAAGGAUGUCCGGGUGAUGUAAAUUUCUGCUCUAGCUCCAGCUCAUCUGUUGUAGAUUAAGUCCCAAGCAGCAGGGCCUGAGCUGGAGAUGCUUGUGCAAGGGAUUCACUGGAAAAACACUCAGGUGAAAGGGCAUGAGAGAAGCAGUAUGGGCAGUAAUUAGUCAAGCCAUGAUUUGGUCUCAGCUGGGGAUUGGUGUCAGCCUGAUCCGAGUUCUGGAGUCUGAACUGUACACCGAAUUUGUGCCAGUUUGAGACACAAGUAUGAAUAAAAUGAUCUAGCUAAAAAGGCUGCCUGCCUGAUCUGCCAAAUGAAGGCUAACCCAAAUGAGAAUUUACGGUUUAACAGUAUUAGUCUUACCUCUCCUGCUUUUAUGAGGAUUUAGAGAGCUCCCAAAUUCUUAUAUGCCCUCUUUCUCAUAAGUUCCCAUUCCCAUUGAUGGUAGACAAAAAAACUUUCCAAGUCAGCUGGAGUCUUCCAGUUUUAAAUGGUCUAAUUUAAGGGAAAUAAUUAUUCAGUUACCUUGAAGGUAAGACCCCUUAUUAGAGCUUUUUUUUUUUCUCUAAAAAUUCUGUUGUUCACCUCCACCUUUUCAAGACCUUCCAAGGUCUAGAUGGAAAGAGUUUUAGUUGUUCUCAUAAUGGGAGGAAUAGGCCUUUGUCAACAAGCUGUCUCUGACCUCCAGCUGAGGUGUAGUCUGUCUGGUAUCUGAAUUUUGGCUCCUAGUCUCCCCCUUCACCACUGAAUGACCGAACUAGUGAGUGGUGGUCUGGUUUCUCGGCACUCAGCCCAGUGGUCUUCCUUGACUAACUUGAUCUCACUUUUUUCACUGGCACUGACAAUCCUGAGAUUCUGCUGUAUCUCCAUCCAGCCCUUCUGGGCUGUCUACAUUACACUUCCUGCCAUGCAGUAACCAUCCCAUGCACCAUGGUGAUCCCAUGGCAAGCCCCUCGGUACUCAACUGGUAUCACUCUUAAGCAAUAUGGGAAUGAAAGGGAAUUCUGUGGUGUGUGUAUGUGUAAAGUCUCAGGGUCUGUGCCAAAAUAUAUGCCUCAAUUUCUGCUGUUUUUACCAGCCUAUCUCUUAGCAACACUGCAGGAUUCCAAAUAGAAGGCUUCUUUGCUUUUCGCUUCCUAUUCAACUUAUCUGGAGUUCCUGCUCAUAAUUUGCCCUGCCUCAGGCUGAACCCUAAGGUCUGUGGGACCUAGCUGGCACCUUCUAUUCUGCUGUCAAAUCUCUUUACUAUCACAAUGACUUCUCUGUUUUGGUCUGAUAAGCAGCUGUCAUAAUGCUUUCACUCCCGGACUCCUCUCCUGCAGACUAUUUGUUCUAGGUGAAUCCGUCCUUCCCUUCCAGAGCAUGUUCUUAACCGCAGGAAGACUUCAGGAAAAAAAGGGCCAAGGGGAAUUUUAUGUCCAAAAGAGGAAAAUAUUUCUCAAAGGAUUUU